rnacentral:rRNA from 1 species
GAGUUUGAUCGUGGCUCAGGACGAACGCUGGCGGCGUGCUUAACACAUGCAAGUCGAACGGUGACCUCGGAGCUUGCUCCGGGUGAUCAGUGGCGAACGGGUGAGUAACACGUGAGCAACCUGCCCCCGACUCUGGGAUAACCCCCGGGAAAUCGGAGCUAAUACCGGAUACGAGACGCACAGGCAUCUGUUGCGUCUGGAAAGAAUUUCGGUCGGGGAUGGGCUCGCGGCCUAUCAGCUAGUUGGUGGGGUAGCGGCCUACCAAGGCGACGACGGGUAGCCGGCCUGAGAGGGCGACCGGCCACACUGGGACUGAGACACGGCCCAGACUCCUACGGGAGGCAGCAGUGGGGAAUAUUGCACAAUGGGCGCAAGCCUGGAUGCAGCGACGCCGCGUGAGGGAUGACGGCCUCGG